AAUAUUGGACAAUGGGCGAAAGCCUGAUCCAGCCAUGCCGCGUGUGUGAAGAAGGUCUUCGGAUUUUAAAUCACUUUAAGGUGGGAGGAAGGAUUGUCGGUUAAUACCCUGCAAUUUUGACGUUACCAACAGAAUAGGCACCGGCUAACUUCGUCCCAGCAGCCGUGGUAAUACGCAGGGUGCAAGCGUUAAUCGGAAUUACUGGGCGUAAUGCGCGCGUAGGUGGUUUGUUAAGUUGGAAGUGAAAGCCCCGGGCUCAACCUGGGAACUGCUUUCAAAACUGGCAAGCUAGAGUACGGUAGAGGGUAGUGGAAUUUCCUGUGUAGCGGUGAAAUGCGUAGAUAUAGGAAGGAACAUCAGUGGCGAAGGCGACUACCUGGACUGAUACUGACACUGAGGUGCGAAAGCGUGGGGAGCAAACAGG
rnacentral:rRNA from 1 species